rnacentral:rRNA from 1 species
CUACGGGGGGCAGCAGUGGGGAAUAUUGCACAAUGGGCGCAAGCCUGAUGCAGCCAUGCCGCGUGUAUGAAGAAGGCCUUCGGGUUGUAAAGUACUUUCAGCGGGGAGGAAGGGAGUAAAGUUAAUACCUUUGCUCAUUGACGUUACCCGCAGAAGAAGCACCGGCUAACUCCGUGCCAGCAGCCGCGGUAAUACGGAGGGUGCAAGCGUUAAUCGGAAUUACUGGGCGUAAAGCGCACGCAGGCGGUUUGUUAAGUCAGAUGUGAAAUCCCCGGGCUCAACCUGGGAACUGCAUCUGAUACUGGCAAGCUUGAGUCUCGUAGAGGGGAGUAGAAUUCCAGGUGUAGCGGUGAAAUGCGUAGAGAUCUGGAGGAAUACCGGUGGCGAAGGCGGCCCCCUGGACGAAGACUGACGCUCAGGUGCGAAAGCGUGGGGGGCAAACAGGAUUAGAUACCCCUGUAGUC